AACAGAAUCACAGAAUGCAUUGAGUUGGAAGAGACCCACAAGGAUCAUUGGGUCCAACUCCUGGUCCUGCACAGGACCUUCCCCAAGAGUCAAACCAUACGCCCAAAAUGCUGAAAUGGGGAAAAGCCAGAAGUCAGGAACUUAUUUCCAGUUUAUAGCCAUAUAAAGAGAAAAUAUACUCUGAAAAUGUCCUUGUCAUUAGAGGCCAAAGCUGCAACAUAAGAGCUACAACAACUUGAAGUUAAUGCCACUGUGAAGCGACAUUAGCCUUAAGGCUCUGAAUACUGUGAACAUUUGGUGUUUCUCCAUCCUUCGGUGGAGGAGUUGGAAGUCUCUAAGAUAUCUUCAGUUAGAUGUCUGCGGGGCCUGGGGUGAACCACAGAAGAGUACCUCUUCCAAAAAUCAGAUGAAUUUUAGAGCUGUUCCUAAGAGGCAUUUUCCAUCUACAUCAUUGUCCUGCUUCAUUUUGUGCCACUUUCAAU